ACGAACGCUGGCGGCGUGCUUAACACAUGCAAGUCGAGCGGUAAGGCCCUUUCGGGGGUACGACGAGCGGCGAACGGGUGAGUAACACGUGGGUGACCUGCCCUCAGCUCUGGGAUAAGCCUGGGAAACCGGGUCUAAUACUGGAUAUGACUCCAUGACGCAUGUUGUGGGGUGGAAAGCCUUGUGCGGCUGAGGAUGGGCCCGCGGCCUAUCAGCUUGUUGGUGGGGUGAAGGCCUACCAAGGCGACGACGGGUAGCCGGCCUGAGAGGGCGACCGGCCACACUGGGACUGAGACACGGCCCAGACUCCUACGGGAGGCAGCAGUGGGGAAUCUUGCGCAAUGGGCGAAAGCCUGACGCAGCGACGCCGCGUGAGGGAUGACGGCCUGGUGU
rnacentral:rRNA from 1 species